GCUAGCGGUUCCUAUCUAAUCUGAUGAAAAUUUCUUCUACUAGGUAAUACACCUGGAGUUAAGCAGGUUUGGGCCUGGCCAGUACUUGGAUGGGAGACCAACAAGGAAAGCUGGGUUGCUGCUGGAG
rnacentral:rRNA from 1 species